rnacentral:ncRNA from 1 species
AGUUGCGAACGGGUGAGUAACGCGUAGGUAACCUACCUCAUAGCGGGGGAUAACUAUUGGAAACGAUAGCUAAUACCGCAUAAGCGCACAGGGCUGCAUGGCCCGGUGUGAAAAACUCCGGUGGUAUGAGAUGGACCCGCGUCUGAUUAGCUAGUUGGAGGGGUAACGGCCCACCAAGGCGACGAUCAGUAGCCGGCCUGAGAGGGUGAACGGCCACAUUGGGACUGAGACACGGCCCAGACUCCUACGGGAGGCAGCAGUGGGGAAUAUUGCACAAUGGGGGCAACCCUGAUGCAGCGACGCCGCGUGAGUGAAGAAGGUUUUCGGAUGUAAAGUUCUAUCAGCAGGGAGGAAA